AACGCACGAGACCUGCGGACCUGCGGAAGGAUCAUUAAUGAGAAACUGCCCCUCGCGGGUAGAUCUCCCACCCUUUGUAAACUUACCUUUGUUGCUUUGGCAGGCCCGUCUCCGGACCGCCGGCUUCGGCUGGCCAGUGCCUGCCAGAGGAUUCUAAAACUCUGUCUGUCAGUGUUGUCUGUGUCUAUAUACAAUCGUUAAAACUUUUAGCAACGGAUCUCUAGAUCGGAAGAGCACACG
rnacentral:misc_RNA from 1 species